rnacentral:lncRNA from 1 species
UCCCUCCCGGGCGCCGGGUCGCUAGCUCCGCUAGGCCCAAGCUGGCGGCCGGCGGGAAUCGCGUCGGCGGUGGCGGCGGCGGCGGCGGCGGUGGCGGCGGCAGCAGAGGCGGGGGUGGCGCGGGCCGUGGGCCGGGCUCGGGCGCCUGGUGUUAGGAGACAAGAUGGCGGCGGCGCUGUGGAGGCCGGUCUCCUCCUCCCCGUCACCCUCCUCCGCCCCGCCGAUCGCCGCCUCCUCCUCCUCCUCCGUCUCCUCCUCCCGGCUCUCUGCCUCCUCCUCCUCCUCCUGCAACAGCACUAGCGGCCGCCGCGGCGCCGGCCCGCUCUCCCGGAGCUCCGGAGGAUAGACGGGGCAGCUGCGGGCUCCCGCGACCAGGCCGAGCUGGGGCCGGGGCGGGGACGGCGGCGGCGGCGGCGGCGGCGGCGCCGGGUGGGGAUGGGGUCGCAGACGCUGCAGAUCCUCCGGCAGGGGGUGUGGGCCACGCUCAGCGGGGGCUGGUAUUACGACCCGCACCAGGCCACCUUCGUGAACGCGCUGCACCUCUACCUGUGGCUCUUUCUGCUUGGCCUGCCCUUCACCCUCUACAUGGCCCUUCCUUCUUCCAUGAUUAUAGUAGCAGUUUAUUGUCCUGUGGUAGCUGCUGUUUUCAUUGUUCUGAAGAUGGUCAACUAUCGACUACACAGAGCACUUGAUGCUGGAGAAGUCGUAGAUAGGAGCACAAAUGAAUUUACAGAUCAGCGAGCCAAAGCUGAACAAGGCAACUGUUCAACCAGGAGAAAAGACAGCAAUGGACCAAGUCCUUGCACUUGUGCAGCAGGAGGCGAAACCACUGAGCUAAAUUCCCGGCCCCAACUAAUGUAAUUCUUAAAACAAGUUCUGGUGUGAACAUUUGACAUAGGCAAGUUUAUUUGGUCUUCAGAACAAUUCUGUGAGAUAGGUGUUAUUAUUAUUCCUGAUUUACAAUUGUGGAAACCAAAGUGAGAUCAAAUAAUCCAAGCACUCAGAUAUAUGCUUUUAGCACCUGUGCUAUGUUUCCACUCACAUAGAACAAACUCCUUCAGAUAUUAAGGUAUAAAUGCUGUAACGCA